rnacentral:rRNA from 1 species
GACGAACGCUGGCGGCGUGCCUAAUACAUGCAAGUUGAGCGAUGAAGAUUGGUGCUUGCACCAAUUUGAAGAGCAGCGAACGGGUGAGUAACGCGUGGGGAAUCUGCCUUUGAGCGGGGGACAACAUUUGGAAACGAAUGCUAAUACCGCAUAACAACUUUAAACAUAAGUUUUAAGUUUGAAGGAUGCAAUUGCAUCACUCAAAGAUGAUCCCGCGUUGUAUUAGCUAGUUGGUGAGGUAAAGGCUCACCAAGGCGAUGAUACAUAGCCGACCUGAGAGGGGGAUCGGCCACAUUGGGACUGAGACACGGCCCAAACUCCUACGGGAGGCAGCAGUAGGGAAUCUUCGGCAAUGGACGAAAGUCUGACCGAGCAACGCCGCGUGAGUGAAGAAGGGUUUCGGAUCGUAAAACUCUGUUGGUAGAGAAGAACGUUGGUGAGAGUGGAAAGCUCAUCAAGUGACGGUAACUACACAGAAAGGGACGGCUAACUACGUG